GUUUCUAGAUGCUACGCAUUUGCUUUGUUUUUCAUGUUUUGAAUGUUAUGUACAUCAAGCACACGUGAAAGAGUAAAUUGUUCUUUUAUAUAAAUAGUAAAAAACUUGAUAAUGGGUUUACAAAUAUAAAUAGAAAAAAAUGCAAUUAUUGGAUGCUAAUACAUUAGGACCUCUUAUUAAAUGUUCUAGUCUAAGGUACAUUGCACAAAUCUUAUACACUCUCAAGUCUAGUAUUAUGUAUCUUCAGAGUUAACGAUUUGACAACGGAAAUUGAUGCACCUCAUAACAAAAGGUAGCAUAAAAAUUUGUGGACAAUCGAUAUUGGCUAUACAUUCAACAGACCCUAAUAAUAGAAAAUGAGAAUAAAAUAUUAUUAAUAAAAUAAGAUAAAAUAAGGAAAUUAGAAAAUUAUGAAAUAAAAGGCUUUACCGUCCUCUUUUGUCGUGACAAGAAGCAUGGAAAGAAAUAGAGUCAUAAAAUAAACAAAUUUGAUAAUUUUAACCAUAUU
rnacentral:lncRNA from 1 species